rnacentral:piRNA from 1 species
AAAGCAGUUGAAUCAGCCUUGCCC